CCCCUUUUCUCUUGCUCUUCCUCUUCCUCCUGCUCUCUGCUCUGCAGUCACCAUGUGUCCACCAGGAAGACAGGACACAUUCUCCCUGCGUCCACCAUAAGAUAAGUCUUAUGAUUGUGAUUGAUAAUUAAGACUGAGCUAGCAGAUGAGAAAUCCUAGUCAUUGGCCAAGCAGCAUUUGUACCUAAUAUAAGUCUCUCUGUGUUACUUGGGACCUUUAACAUGGCAGUGGGCAGAACUCGGGCAGCCUGGCGGAAAGCAACCAUGUGGUGGUGGGGCUCGGGCAGAUGGAGUAAAGAUUUAUCGGUACACCAUAGGAAUGAAGUCAUCUGCAUUUAAUAUAGGCGAGCAUUGAGAGAUGCCAAGAGAGAUGGGUACAUAUGAAUCAAAAGGAUUUGUCAGUCAAAUUAAAGACGGGUUUUCUAUUCAAAGUGGCUUCUGAUUGCUUUGCUUUCAGCGAAAGGGUUCUCCAGAAAGAAAACCAAUAGUGUGUGUGUGUGUGUGUGUGUGUGUGUGUGUGUAAAGCUACAAUAUAGCUAUAUCUAUCUAUCUAUGUAUCCAUGUAUCUAUCUAUGUAUCUAUCUAUUUUUCCAUUCAUCCAUCUAUCAUCAUCUAUGUGGUGGUUUGAAUGCAAAUGGCUCCCAAAGGGAGUGGCACUAUUAGGAGGUGUGGCCUUGUUGGAGUAGGUGUGGUCUUCUUGGAGGAAGUGUGUCACUAUGGAAGUGGGCUUUGAGGUGUCAUAUAUGCUCAAACCAUACCCAGUGUCUUAGAUCACUUCCUGUUGCCUUUGGAUCAAGAUGUAAGAACUCUCAGCUUCAGCACCAUGUCUGUCUGCAUGCUGCCUUGCUUCCUACCAUGUAAUCGAGUCACCCCAAUUAAAUGUUUUUCUUUAUAAACAUGACAUGGUCAUGGUGUCUCUUUAUAGCAAUAGAAACCCUAAGACAAUCUAUCUAUCUGCCUAUCUAUCUAUCUAUCUAUCUAUCAUCUAUCUUUCUACCAUCUAUCAUCUAUGUGUGUUUCAUACAUAAGUUUGCCAAAAGGAUUUAGCUUAUAGGAUAUCAAAGUGCUCAAGCCCUGCAGUGUGUAGAGUUAGUCAGCAAGCUUGGGACUGAGGAGUGCUAAGGGCAUCAUCCUGUUUAUAGAGCAGGAGGCUCAAGACUAAGGGGAAACCCAGGGCUCCAAUGAAGGCAACAAGGAGGAAGAACUUUUAUAUAUUCAGAGAACAGUCAUUUUUGUUUUGGAAAAGGCUUACCACUCUAGACAGGGGACCCUGCUUUCCCCAACCUAUUUAAAUACCAGCAAUCGCAUGUAAAAACACUCCCCCAUAGAAACAUCCAGAAUAUUGUUUGAACAUCAAGCUGACAUGUGAAAUUAACCAUCGUGGACACUCUCUAGUCACAAAUUUUUCAAAGCUCUUAACGUUCCUGGCUUCACGUGUUAAAGUGAAAGUACCUUAGACCAAUUAAAUUUGCGUGCCAAAACAAAAACCAACUGAUUGACAAACAGGGCAGCCGCUGCCACAGUCACAACAGGUUCCCAGAACUCAUCCAACAGUGGCAUCUGAUAGCACUUAUAGGAAAAUAAGAGCAUGUCAUAGAAAACAAGUUAAUUGGUUCCAGCUUAGUCAGCCAAUCACACAAUUGAUUACAGCCUAACCUGCUGGUUAUUUAUAGCAUCAUUAGUUAAUUAGCUACAGGGCCUCAAGAAGCCAAAUACAGUCUAGUUGCUGUGAUUAGAGUUUAUAUAGAUUAGCUUUCCUGGGCUCUAUGUAAGACCUCGGUUCACACCCUGUAAAAUUUUGCUCAACACAUAGUGCAGAAAGCAGCUACUGUUCAUUAUUUGUUUAAUUCUAUCACUUGGCCACCGCUGAACAUUAAUUAUAUCAAAAUUUAAUUAGGACUGAAGAUUUAAUUACAUGUAAAUUCUUGCAUCAGCAGAUUUGUGUGUGCUGGCUUUGUGCUGGGCACAGGUCAGUAUGGCAAAAGUGAGAAAGUAUCCCACGGAUACUGCCUAGGAGAUGCAAUUCAAUGGCUUGACCUGAGAAUGGCCUCCAGCACUUUGUGUGUCUCUCCUUUAAGAUUAGCUUUACUUCCUCUUGUGACUGAACUUUCAGAGUUGGAACCUCCAAAUGUCAUUGUCAACCACCAUUGUGUUGUGUUUUUCUUGUUUUUGUUCUGUUUUGGUUUUGGUUUUGAUGUAGGAAAUGCAGAAUGAGAGGUGAAUAGUGUCACUCAAAAGAAGGCCGCAGUAGGGUAAUCUUUAGCCAGGCAAUAGGAGGUGGAGGGAGUAAAGAAAAACAAGAACCCAGAGACCAGGUGGGGAGAGACACCUGCUGACAUUCAUCUCUGCAUCCCUGCAGAUGCCAAGGCUGUACACAGAGAGAGAAAGAACAGCCCGGUGCUAGAGAAGGAAGACGUGACUCUACUAAAAGAAGUAAGAAAGCCAUUUAUUCAAAGCCAAUCAAGAGUGACCGUGACCCAGGAACAUGGAUGCCAACUGCGCUGGAUGGCAUGCUUCCCUGUGGAAGAUGUCACACGAACCCCCAAAGUCGCAGAACAAAAGAGUAAUGAGUCAGCAGGCUCCCCAAUUACAACGGUGGAUCAUCAGGGUUACAGCAAAACUAAAGGUGCCAGAUGUUAAAACAUGCUUACCUUUGUGUUUGAUAGAGGAGAGAUGUCCACUAAGCUCUGCAAUAACUGCCUGAGAAGUUUAUCUAUUAGUUACAAUAAUGUCCUCGAGAAGUUAGCUGACUGCUGAAGACCAUAAUGUGUGUGGUCCAAGGUGAUUAUGGUACAUGAUCCACAAAAUGCCAACUCUCCAUCAUCGUAAUACUCCCUGCAGCCAGGGUCAAACAACCUGUGGGGUCUUUAUUACAUACAGAGUUUCUUCGAAGAACUUAGUUUGUCUGUGAACCACGAGGUCCAUUGUUAAGACUUCUGAGUAGUCUGGAUGAGUUAAACGGCUACUGAAAGUCUUUGUAAUCCACAAAUCCACCUCUGUACUUAAAAAAUGAUAAAGGGCACAAUACUAAUGGCACCCAAGUCUUUUUGGUCCAUUCAUAGGCUCCCACACUUUAGUUGGCGUUGCGCACAAAAAAUUUUAAAUGUAAUUUUCCCUGUUCC
ensembl:lncRNA